rnacentral:rRNA from 1 species
GACGAACGCUGGCGGCGUGCUUAACACAUGCAAGUCGAACGGAAAGGCCCUGCUUUUGUGGGGUGCUCGAGUGGCGAACGGGUGAGUAACACGUGAGUAACCUGCCCUUGACUUUGGGAUAACUUCAGGAAACUGGGGCUAAUACCGGAUAGGAGCUCCUGCUGCAUGGUGGGGGUUGGAAAGUUUCGGCGGUUGGGGAUGGACUCGCGGCUUAUCAGCUUGUUGGUGGGGUAGUGGCUUACCAAGGCUUUGACGGGUAGCCGGCCUGAGAGGGUGACCGGCCACAUUGGGACUGAGAUACGGCCCAGACUCCUACGGUAGGCAGCAGUGGGGAAGAUUGCACAAGGGGCGGAAGCCUGAUGCAGCAACGCCGCGUGCGGGAUGACGGCCUUCGGGUUGUAAACCGCUUUCGCCUGUGACGAAGCGUGAGUGACGGUAAUGGGUAAAGAAGCACCGGCUAACUACGUG